GCUCCUAGAAUAAAAGUGCAGACCAUAAGAAGACAGGGAAGCAACUUCCAGGUGUAUCUCAGUCACAGUAUCACUGAAUAUGUGAAUUGUACCUAACGCCACCUCCUAAUACUGAGGUCCGGGGCACUGCUAGGAUUCCCUGGGACGUCUCUGUGGUCAGUGGUCAGGCCCACAGAGGACACAUUGGCAAGACCAGGCUGAGGAGCCAACAGUUCUUUAAGACGAGCUGCCUGGGGCACUCAGCUCUCACAGUUGGAGGGGACUUGUGAUUUGUCCCGGUGACAGAGGGCAGGAAAUACGGCUGGCGCUGGGAUGUGGGGAUGGCGUAUUUGUAGGGCACAGCGUAUGAGGCUCUCAAGACGUAGUAUUUACUGACAUCUAGAGGUGUGCGCGGUCAACGUCUUCUAACAGCAACAUAGAAAAACAUGAGGCUUUUGCAAACAGCUUGAGGCAAGGAUGUAGAGUUCAAACGCCACAUAUUGACCACCAAAAGGAAGAAAAUGCGAUGACAAAACUCUGUUACGUGUGACUGGGAGAGGAAAGGUUUCCUCUUUAUACCUUAAAAUUUAAUUUUUUUUUUUGUCUAUGUUGCCAAAGGUUAGGGGGUGUUCCUUUUAGAAAAAUGUCUCUGUGUGAGCUGAGGAGAACAAAGCCGCGAAGACUCAGGGAACAGUGCUUCCUGUGAAGAUAACUAUGUGAAGAAGGUUUGGAGAUUUUGAAGGACAGAAGUUUAAAGACUCAUAGCACAAACAAUGACGGAGAUAUCAGUGUAGAAGGGCAUGCUCUUAGGCAGGGAGUGUGAAACUUCCCAGGGGAAGGGAACAGCUUUCCCACCCCUUAGCACCUGCCCUGCCUCCCAGGUAGCUAAGGGAACACCUGUGCAGCCCACAAGGCUAGCAUUGCAGACAGGGGUCCUGCUGGAUAACGCAGAAACAAAAUGUCUGCAAAGGAGAGCACCUCGUGGCAGCACGGUGCAAGUCAGACUAAGCCUCUUCCUUCUGCGAGGGUCAGGACAGCUUUAGACCCAGGAAAGGUAAACAGAACCAGAUACAGGGCCAGACGGAGAACAACAGGAUGAAAGGUAAACCAGGCAAGAGCUGCCUGCCACACCCAGCGGCGGCUGAGAGCGGAUUAGAUUGGUGUAUGAGCACAGGGCAGAAGAGGAUGUUGGGCGUUCUGCUCUAUGGUUCUUUUCUUCAUUCCCCUGAGACAGGGUUUUGAACAUAGAGUGCCCAUGGAGGCCAGAAGACAACAUUUGAACAUCUGGAACUGGAGUUAUAGAGAGCAGUAAACUGCCACGUGGGUGCUGAGAAUUGAACCUGUGACAUUUGGAAGAGCAGCUGCUGAUCUCCAAAGCGCCGAGCCUCUCACCAGCCCCUGUGCACCUGUGCAUAUAAUUUUGUGCAAUGCUUUUGUUGCUAAUAUUCUGUUUGUUUGUUUUAAGACAGUCUCAUGUAGCCCGGGCUGAUCCUGACCUGUCUAUGUAUGGAUGACUAUAAACAUGUCUAUGUAGGAUGACUUUAAAAUCCUCCUGCCUAUACUCACAGGUGCGAGGAGGACAAGCAUGCGCCCCUGUGCCUGGUGUUAUAUAAUAAUCUUUGCAAACAUUUUCCUAUAUAAACCUGCUUUAAAUACUAUUCUUAAUGACAUUAUUUUAUUAUGUACUAUAUGUUAGGUAUUAACUAUUGAAAAUCAAACAUGCAUCCAAAA